CUGGAUGGUAGUGUAUUGGACUACCAUGGCAGUCACGGGUAACGGAGAAUUAGGGUUCGAUUCCGGAGAGGGAGCCUGAGAAACGGCUACCACAUCUACGGAAGGCAGCAGGCGCGCAAAUUGCCCAAUCCCGACACGGGGAGGCAGUGACAAGAAAUAACAACUCUUGGAUUUCUAAGAAGUGUAAUGAGGAUAAUUUACAACCCUUACCGAAAGCAAUUGGAGGGCAAGUCUGGUGCCAGCAGCCGCGGUAAUUCCAGCUCCAAUAGCGUAUAUUAAAGUUGUUGCAGUUAAAAAGCUCGUAGUUGAAGUUCUGAUUGAUCGGGCCUCGCGCUUUAUAGCCGAGGAACCGACAGUCAUCCGCUUGCAAAUAUAUGUUCGCCUUUAACCGGGUGGCUAUAUGAGUAAGCAAUUUACCUUGAGAAAAACAGAGUGUUCCAGGCAGGUUUGUCCGGAAUGCAUUAGCAUGGAAUAAUAGAAUAUGACUGAAGUCGAUUUAUUGGUUUAAGGCUUUAGUAAUGAUUAAUAGGAACAGUCGGGGGCAUUGGUACUUGACAGUCAGAGGUGAAAUUCUAGGAUUUGUCAA
rnacentral:rRNA from 1 species